GAUGAACGCUGGCGGCGUGCCUAAUACAUGCAAGUCGAGCGAACAGACGAGGAGCUUGCUCCUCUGACGUUAGCGGCGGACGGGUGAGUAACACGUGGAUAACCUACCUAUAAGACUGGGAUAACUUCGGGAAACCGGAGCUGAUACCGGAUAAUAUAUUGAACCGCAUGGUUCAAUAGUGAAAGACGGUUUUGCUGUCACUUAUAGAUGGAUCCGCGCCGCAUUAGCUAGUUGGUAAGGUAACGGCUUACCAAGGCAACGAUGCGUAGCCGACCUGAGAGGGUGAUCGGCCACACUGGAACUGAGACACGGUACAGACUCCUACGGGAGGCAGCAGUAGGGAAUCUUCCGCAAUGGGCGAAAGCCUGACGGAGCAACGCCGCGUGAGUGAUGAAGGUCUUCGGAUCGUAAAACUCUGUUAUUAGGGAAGAACAAAUGUGUAAGUAACUAUGCACGUCUUGACGGUACCUAAUCAGAAAGCCACGGCUAACUACGUG
rnacentral:rRNA from 1 species